rnacentral:rRNA from 1 species
UCAUGGCUCAGGAUGAACGCUAGCGGCAGGCUUAACACAUGCAAGUCGAGGGGUAACAGAGGAGCUUGCUCUUGCUGACGACCGGCGCACGGGUGCGUAACGCGUAUACAAUCUGCCUUACACUAAGGGAUAGCCCAGAGAAAUUUGGAUUAACACCUUAUAGUUUAUUUUUAUGGCAUCAUUUAAAUAAUAAAGUUUACGGUGUAAGAUGAGUAUGCGUCCCAUUAGUUUGUUGGUAAGGUAACGGCUUACCAAGACUACGAUGGGUAGGGGCCCUGAGAGGGGGAUCCCCCACACUGGUACUGAGACACGGACCAGACUCCUACGGGAGGCAGCAGUGAGGAAUAUUGGACAAUGGAGGAGACUCUGAUCCAGCCAUGCCGCGUGCAGGAAGACGGUCCUAUGGAUUGUAAACUGCUUUUAUACAGGAAGAAUAAGGACUACGUGUAGUCUGGUGACGGUACUGUAAGAAUAAGGACCGGCUAACUCCGUGCCAGCAGCCGCGGUAAUACGGAGGGUCCGAGCGUUAUCCGGAAUUAUUGGGUUUAAAGGGUCCGUAGGCGGGCUGUUAAGUCAGGGGUGAAAGUUUGCAGCUCAACUGUAGAAUUGCCUUUGAUACUGAUGGUCUUGAAUUAUUGUGAAGUGGUUAGAAUAUGUAGUGUAGCGGUGAAAUGCAUAGAUAUUACAUAGAAUACCGAUUGCGAAGGCAGAUCACUAACAAUUGAUUGACG